GACGAAGGGGGCUAGCGUUGUUCGGAAUUACUGGGCGUAAAGAGUGCGUAGGCGGUUCUCCAAGUCCGUUGUGAAAGCCCCGGGCUCAACCUGGGAAUGGCAGUGGAAACUAGGGGACUUGAAUCUGGCAGAGGGGGGUGGAAUUCCACGUGUAGCAGUGAAAUGCGUAGAGAUGUGGAGGAACACCGAUGGCGAAGGCAGCCCCCUGGGCUGAGAUUGACGCUCAGGCACGAAAGCGUGGAGAGCAAACAGG
rnacentral:rRNA from 1 species